GAUCCUGGCUCAGGAUGAACGCUAGCUACAGGCUUAACACAUGCAAGUCGAGGGGCAGCAUUUCAGUUUGCUUGCAAACUGGAGAUGGCGACCGGCGCACGGGUGAGUAACACGUAUCCAACCUGCCGAUAACUCGGGGAUAGCCUUUCGAAGGAAAGAUUAAUACCCGAUGGCAUAAUUAGACCGCAUGGUCUUAUUAUUAAAGAAUUUCGGUUAUCGAUGGGGAUGCGUUCCAUUAGGGCUAGG
rnacentral:rRNA from 1 species